rnacentral:lncRNA from 1 species
GUUUUCGCCUUGGCUGCAGGUCCCUGGGGUUCCAGGCCCCUGGAUUCCAUCCCUGUGGUUCUCACCGUGAGUCAUGGUGGCUCUGCUGUGCCGUCCUCGCUAUCUCGGGGAACCGGAGAUCCCCCUUAAUUCCCUCCAGCUGUGUCUCUACAGGGCUGAGGUCAUCCAUUCUGGCUCAAGAGGAAAGCAGAGAGUUUGUUGUGUCUUUGUUUCAUUCAAAUGGUUUGGACGGUGACUCACUCCAUUUCUUCUCUCUUUUCUUUUUAAACCAGGGCACCGUCUGGGAGUCGUUUUUGAUUAGAAGUUGACCUCAGAAAUAUGCUCACAUCAUUUUGAAAGCAUCUUCCAGCACCACAGAAAUCGACUCAGAUGGAGAAAGGACACUGAGUGGACAGGGGCCAGGAUGGGGCGUGGACGCUCUGCCUCUGCCGGGGACAAGGCCUUCCCACAGACUCCCUGGGGUGUUGCCAGCCUGAGUCAGAGAUAUUGAUGUAAUGCCUACCGUGUUCCAGACACGCUGCGAGGCCCUGGGGAUGCAGCCACAAUCCCAACAGAUCUGAUGCCUGCUCUCAUGGAACUGACUUUGCACUGGGGGGAGGCCAACUCCACGAAAACAGAAACUGGAUGACACAUUGGAGGGAGAGCAGUAAAAGGAGCAAGCAGAGAGCAAGAACAACAGUGUUGCCAUGGGGCGGGUGGGCCCGCUGUAGCCAGGGAGGGCCUCUCCGAAGGUAUAACAGUGCCUUGCUGAAUUCACUCCCACGACCCCUCCAUGCUUGGGUCAGGAUGCAUGAACCUGAAAGCACAUGAAGUCCUCUCUGGGAUCUUCUGCCUUUGGUCCUAACUGUUCUCAGGGGGAAGCGACUCUGAAGGCCAAGAGGUAAGUUUCCUAAGCAACCGGGCCUGCUGGUCUUGAGCCCUCCCCUGUGCCUUUUUUUUUGAGUCUCCCUCCGUCACACAGGCUGGAGUGCAGUGGCGCCAUCUCGGCUCAUCUCCGCCU